rnacentral:rRNA from 1 species
GAUGAACGCUGGCGGCAUGCUUUACACAUGCAAGUCGAACGGCAGCGCGGGCUUCGGCCUGGCGGCGAGUGGCGAACGGGUGAGUAAUGCAUCGGAACGUGCCCAGUAGUGGGGGAUAGCCCGGCGAAAGCCGGAUUAAUACCGCAUACGACCUGAGGGUGAAAGCGGGGGACCGAAAGGCCUCGCGCUAUUGGAGCGGCCGAUGUCGGAUUAGCUAGUUGGUGGGGUAAAGGCUUACCAAGGCGACGAUCCGUAGCUGGUCUGAGAGGACGACCAGCCACACUGGGACUGAGACACGGCCCAGACUCCUACGGGAGGCAGCAGUGGGGAAUUUUGGACAAUGGGGGCAACCCUGAUCCAGCCAUGCCGCGUGCGGGAAGAAGGCCUUCGGGUUGUAAACCGCUUUUGUUCGGGAAGAAAUCCUCUGGGCUAAUACCCCGGGGGGAUGACGGUACCGGAAGAAUAAGCACCGGCUAACUACGUG